AUUGCUCUAGUAACGGCGAGUGAAGCAGCAAUAGCUCAAAUUUGAAAUCUGGCGUCUUCGACGUCCGAGUUGUAAUUUGUAGAGGAUGCUUCUGAGUGGCCACCGACCUAAGUUCCUUGGAACAGGACGUCAUAGAGGGUGAGAAUCCCGUAUGCGGUCGGAAAGGCGCUCUAUACGUAGCUCCUUCGACGAGUCGAGUUGUUUGGGAAUGCAGCUCUAAAUGGGAGGUAAAUUUCUUCUAAAGCUAAAUAUUGGCCAGAGACCGAUAGCGCACAAGUAGAGUGAUCGAAAGAUGAAAAGCACUUUGGAAAGAGAGUUAAAAAGCACGUGAAAUUGUUAAAAGGGAAGGGAUUGCAACCAGACUUGCUCGCGGUGUUCCGCCGGUCUUCUGACCGGUCUACUCGCCGCGUUGCAGGCCAGCAUCGUCUGGUGCCGCUGGAUAAGACUUGAGGAAUGUAGCUCCCUCGGGAGUGUUAUAGCCUCUUGUGAUGCAGCGAGCGCCGGGCGAGGUCCGCGCUUCGGCUAGGAUGCUGGCGUAAUGGUCGUAAUCCGCCCGUCUUGAAACACGGACCAAGGAGUCUAACAUCUAUGCGAGUGUUCGGGUGUCAAACCCCUACGCGUAAUGAAAGUGAACGGAGGUGAGAACCGCAAGGUGCAUCAUCGACCGAUCCUGAUGUCUUCGGAUGGAUUUGAGUAAGAGCAUAGCUGUUGGGACCCGAAAGAUGGUGAACUAUGCCUGAAUAGGGUGAAGCCAGAGGAACUCUGGUGGAGGCUCGCAGCGGUUCUGACGUGCAAAUCGAUCGUCAAAUUUGGGUAUAGGGGCGAAAGACUAAUCGAACCAUCUAGUAGCUGGUUCCUGCCGA
rnacentral:rRNA from 1 species